GGGGGUAUAACUCAGUGGUAGAGAAUUCGACUGCACAUCGAGAAGUCCCCGGUUCAAACCCGGAUGCUCUGUUCUUCA
rnacentral:tRNA from 1 species